rnacentral:lncRNA from 1 species
GUAUAAUUAAUAGAAGAUUUUUACCAUUGAAGUUUUUUUUUUUUAAGCAUAAAACACAAGAGUAACUCAAACCCAUAUUCAACAUCGAACUCAAAAGACUUUCAAACUCAUAUUCAACAUUGAACUCAAAAACCCAUUAAAAUCGAAGAGAAAAACUCAAACUUACGUUUGAAAUCAAACCAAACUCAUAUUCAACAUUGAGCUAAAAAACCCUUUAAAAUCCAAGA